AUUGAACGCUGGCGGCAGGCCUAACACAUGCAAGUCGAGCGGAUGAGAGAAGCUUGCUUCUCGAUUCAGCGGCGGACGGGUGAGUAAUGCCUAGGAAUCUGCCUGGUAGUGGGGGACAACGUUUCGAAAGGAACGCUAAUACCGCAUACGUCCUACGGGAGAAAGCAGGGGACCUUCGGGCCUUGCGCUAUCAGAUGAGCCUAGGUCGGAUUAGCUAGUUGGUGAGGUAAUGGCUCACCAAGGCGACGAUCCGUAACUGGUCUGAGAGGAUGAUCAGUCACACUGGAACUGGGACACGGUACAGACUCCGACGGGGGGCAGCAGUGGGGAAUAUUGGACAAUGGGCGAAAGCCUGAUCCAGCCAUGCCGCGUGUGUGAAGAAGGUAUUCGGAUUGUAAAGCACUUUAAGUUGGGAGGAAGGGUUGUAGAUUAAUACUCUGCAAUUUUGACGUUACCGACAGAAUAAGCACCGGCUAACUCUGUGCCAGCCGCCGCCGUAAGAC
rnacentral:rRNA from 1 species